GGGUGAUAGUCCCGUACACCAAAAUGCACAGGCUGUGAACUCGAAGAGUAGGGCGGGACACGUGGUAUCCUGUCUGAAUAUGGGGGGACCAUCCUCCAAGGCUAAAUACUCCUGACUGACCGAUAGUGAACCAGUACCGUGAGGGAAAGGCGAAAAGAACCCCGGCGAGGGGAGUGAAAAAGAACCUGAAACCGUGUACGUACAAGCAGUGGGAGCACCUUCGGGUGUGACUGCGUACCUUUUGUAUAAUGGGUCAGCGACUUAUAUUCUGUAGCAAGGUUAACCGUAUAGGGGAGCCGCAGGGAAACCGAGUCUUAACUGGGCGUUAAGUUGCAGGGUAUAGACCCGAAACCCGGUGAUCUAGCCAUGGGCAGGUUGAAGGUUGGGUAACACUAACUGGAGGACCGAACCGACUAAUGUUGAAAAAUUAGCGGAUGACUUGUGGCUGGGGGUGAAAGGCCAAUCAAACCGGGAGAUAGCUGGUUCUCCCCGAAAGCUAUUUAGGUAGCGCCUCGUGAACUCAUCUUCGGGGGUAGAGCACUGUUUCGGCUAGGGGGUCAUCCCGACUUACCAACCCGAUGCAAACUACGAAUACCGAAGAAUGUUAUCACGGGAGACACACGGCGGGUGCUAACGUCCGUCGUGAAGAGGGAAACAACCCAGACCGCCAGCUAAGGUCCCAAAGUCAUGGUUAAGUGGGAAACGAUGUGGGAAGGCACAGACAGCCAGGAUGUUGGCUUAGAAGCAGCCAUCAUUUAAAGAAAGCGUAAUAGCUCACUGGUCGAGUCGGCCUGCGCGGAAGAUGUAACGGGGCUAAACCAUGCACCGAAGCUGCGGCAGCGACACUAUGUGUUGUUGGGUAGGGGAGCGUUCUGUAAGCCUGCGAAGGUGUGCUGUGAGGCAUGCUGGAGGUAUCAGAAGUGCGAAUGCUGACAUAAGUAACGAUAAAGCGGGUGAAAAGCCCGCUCGCCGGAAGACCAAGGGUUCCUGUCCAACGUUAAUCGGGGCAGGGUGAGUCGACCCCUAAGGCGAGGCCGAAAGGCGUAGUCGAUGGGAAACAGGUUAAUAUUCCUGUACUUGGUGUUACUGCGAAGGGGGGACGGAGAAGGCUAUGUUAGCCGGGCGACGGUUGUCCCGGUUUAAGCAUGUAGGCUGAUUGUCCAGGCAAAUCCGGAUAAUCAAGGCUGAGGUGUGAUGACGAGGCACUACGGUGCUGAAGUAACAAAUGCCCUGCUUCCAGGAAAAGCCUCUAAGCAUCAGGUAACAUCAAAUCGUACCCCAAACCGACACAGGUGGUCAGGUAGAGAAUACCAAGGCGCUUGAGAGAACUCGGGUGAAGGAACUAGGCAAAAUGGUGCCGUAACUUCGGGAGAAGGCACGCUGGUGUGUAGGUGAAGUCCCUGCGGAUGGAGCUGAGACCAGUCGAAGAUACCAGCUGGCUGCAACUGUUUAUUAAAAACACAGCACUGUGCAAACACGAAAGUGGACGUAUACGGUGUGACGCCUGCCCGGUGCCGGAAGGUUAAUUGAUGGGGUUAUCCGUAAGGAGAAGCUCUUGAUCGAAGCCCCGGUAAACGGCGGCCGUAACUAUAACGGUCCUAAGGUAGCGAAAUUCCUUGUCGGGUAAGUUCCGACCUGCACGAAUGGCGUAAUGAUGGCCAGGCUGUCUCCACCCGAGACUCAGUGAAAUUGAACUCGCUGUGAAGAUGCAGUGUACCCGCGGCAAGACGGAAAGACCCCGUGAACCUUUACUAUAGCUUGACACUGAACAUUGAGCCUUGAUGUGUAGGAUAGGUGGGAGGCUUUGAAGCGUGGACGCCAGUCUGCGUGGAGCCAACCUUGAAAUACCACCCUUUAAUGUUUGAUGUUCUAACGUUGGCCCCUGACCGGGGUUGCGGACAGUGUCUGGUGGGUAGUUUGACUGGGGCGGUCUCCUCCCAAAGCGUAACGGAGGAGCACGAAGGUUAGCUAAUCCUGGUCGGACAUCAGGAGGUUAGUGCAAUGGCAUAAGCUAGCUUGACUGCGAGCGUGACGGCGCGAGCAGGUGCGAAAGCAGGUCAUAGUGAUCCGGUGGUUCUGAAUGGAAGGGCCAUCGCUCAACGGAUAAAAGGUACUCCGGGGAUAACAGGCUGAUACCGCCCAAGAGUUCAUAUCGACGGCGGUGUUUGGCACCUCGAUGUCGGCUCAUCACAUCCUGGGGCUGAAGUAGGUCCCAAGGGUAUGGCUGUUCGCCAUUUAAAGUGGUACGCGAGCUGGGUUUAGAACGUCGUGAGACAGUUCGGUCCCUAUCUGCCGUGGGCGCUGGAGAAUUGAGGGGGGCUGCUCCUAGUACGAGAGGACCGGAGUGGACGCAUCACUGGUGUUCGGGUUGUCAUGCCAAUGGCACUGCCCGGUAGCUAAAUGCGGAAGAGAUAAGUGCUGAAAGCAUCUAAGCACGAAACUUGCCCCGAGAUGAGUUCUCCCUGAGACUAUAAGUCUCCUGAAGGAACGUUAAAGACGAUGACGUUGAUAGGCCGGGUGUGUAAGCGCAGCGAUGCGUUGAGCUAACCGGUACUAAUGAACCGUGAGGCUUAACCUUACAACGCCGAAG
rnacentral:rRNA from 1 species